UCCAAUCCUUGACAGAAGAGGGUCUUCAACACCUCACCUCUCUUAAAGCAUUAGAGAUCAGAAGCUGUCGCAAGCUCAAAUACUUGACAAAAGAGAGACUUCCAGACUCCCUCUCUUAUCUGCAUGUCAACGGGUGUCCUUUACUAGAACAACGGUGUCAAUUUGAGAAAGGGGAAGAAUGGCGUUAUAUAGCUCACAUUCCAGAAAUAGUGAUCAACCGUGUGCUAUUUUAAUGGACGUGGUACUCCACCAAUAUACAGCAGCUUGCACUGAUCGGGAGUCCAUGCCAAAAAAGGCUGGUCUAUUGCACGCUAACCAAGUGGACCUCUUCAGAAAGUCUUGAGCCCAAACAACACCAGCCCAUUUUGAGGGACAACAAUAUCAAGUCUCUUAGGACCAAAAAUGAUCAUCACAACAGACUAGCCACAGAUGCAAGUUCUGGCCCUGAAACUUGGGGUUUUGAAUAUGUUUCCCCGAUUUCCAUGGACUAAUCGUUGGGUUACAA